rfam:Dipodomys ordii contig_17757, whole genome shotgun sequence.
GGGGAGGUGGCUCAGUGACAGAGCACUUGUCUUGCAUGCAUGAGGCCCUGGGUUUGAUUCCCCUGCACCA